rnacentral:rRNA from 1 species
GACGUAGGGCGCGAGCGUUGUCCGGAUUUAUUGGGCGUAAAGAGCUCGUAGGCGGCUUGUCGCGUCGAAUGUGAAAACUCGGGGCUCAACUCCGAGCUUGCAUUCGAUACGGGCAGGCUAGAGUUCGGUAGGGGGAGACUGGAAUUCCUGGUGUAGCGGUGAAAUGCGCAGAUAUCAGGAGGAACACCGGUGGCGAAGGCGGGUCUCUGGGCCGUAACUGACGCUGAGGAGCGAAAGCAUGGGGGAGCGAACAGG